UACGUAGGGUGCGAGCGUUGUCCGGAAUUAUUGGGCGUAAAGAGCUCGUAGGCGGUCUGUCGCGUCGAUCGUGAAAACUUGGGGCUUAACCCUGAGCUUGCGGUCGAUACGGGCAUGACUGGAGUUCGGCAGGGGAGACUGGAAUUCCUGGUGUAGCGGUGAAAUGCGCAGAUAUCAGGAGGAACACCAGCGGCGAAGGCGGCGCUCUGGGCCGGUACUGACACUGAGGAGCGAAAGCGUGGGUAGCAAACAGG
rnacentral:rRNA from 1 species